rnacentral:rRNA from 1 species
AUUGAACGCUGGCGGCAGGCCUAACACAUGCAAGUCGAGCGGUAACACAGGGAGCUUGCUCCCGGGUGACGAGCGGCGGACGGGUGAGUAAUGUCUGGGAAACUGCCUGAUGGAGGGGGAUAACUACUGGAAACGGUAGCUAAUACCGCAUAACGUCGCAAGACCAGAGAGGGGGACCUUCGGGCCUCUUGCCAUCAGAUGCGCCCAGAUGGGAUUAGCUAGUAGGUGGGGUAACGGCUCACCUAGGCGACGAUCCCUAGCUGGUCUGAGAGGAUGACCAGCCACACUGGAACUGAGACACGGUCCAGACUCCUACGGGAGGCAGCAGUGGGGAAUAUUGCACAAUGGGCGCAAGCCUGAUGCAGCCAUGCCGCGUGUAUGAAGAAGGCCUUCGGGUUGUAAAGUACUUUCAGCGGGGAGGAAGGUGUUGAGGUUAAUAACCUCAGCAAUUGACGUUACCCGCAGAAGAAGCACCGGCUAACUCCGUGCCAGCCGCCGCAGUAA